GAUGAACGCUGGCGGCGUGCCUAAUACAUGCAAGUCGAGCGAACAGACGAGGAGCUUGCUCCUCUGACGUUAGCGGCGGACGGGUGAGUAACACGUGGAUAACCUACCUAUAAGACUGGGAUAACUUCGGGAAACCGGAGCUAAUACCGGAUAAUAUAUUGAACCGCAUGGUUCAAUAGUGGAAGACGGUUUUGCUGUCACUUAUAGAUGGAUCCGCGCCGCAUUAGCUAGUUGGUAAGGUAACGGCUUACCAAGGCAACGAUGCGAAGCCGACCUGAGAGGGUGAUCGGCCACACUGGAACUGAGACACGGUCCAAACUCGUAAGGGAGGCAGCAGUCGGGCAUCUUCCGCAAUGGGCGAAAGCCUGACGUAGCAACGCCGCGUGAGUGAUGAAGGUCUUCGGAUCGUAAACCUCUGAUAUUAGGGAAGAACAAAUGUGUAAGUAACUAUGCACGUCUCGACGGUACCUAAUCAGAAAGCCAUGGCUAACUACGUG
rnacentral:rRNA from 1 species